CUGUUCCUGCUGCAGAUCUCAUGUUCAGUUUGUAAUUGAACUUAAUUUAUGUUCAUUAAUAACUAGCAUCCAUAAAGAAGUAAAUAUCCUUUUAUUCAUAUUUUAUUUUCCUGUACUAACUGAAGAACUGCAGACAUAGAUGUAGACUGUUUCUUAAAGGAACUGUAAUAGAUGUUAUUCAACCCAUUUAAGCCGGGAAAGCGUUGCCGCAUUUCUACCAUUAAACCCGGGAAAGCGGAUGCGUCGUAUUCUGGUACAAGAGCUCUGUGGUAUAUUUCUGCAUUAAUUAUCGGCCUCUUAGUCAAUGAAAUGCAUCAGAAUAUACACGUGGCAUUGUUUGAAUUUUUUCCGAACAAUCAUGGCCGACUUAGAAUACUGCGGAGGGAAUUCUGAAGUUAGUGAAGGUAGUGAUGUUGACGAUCUGCACAGCGCUGAUGACAUUACUGCUGACUACUUUGAACCCAUCGAACCAAUCGACCGGGAUUUAUGGUUAAGACAUCUGUUUGAAGACGAUGAUGACCAUGAGUUUGAAGGUUUUGAAACCGAGUGGAGGACGGAGAAUUACCACUCUAAUCCACAGAGUGUUUUCAACCGCACCCCAGGAGUGAAAGUCGAUUUACCUGCAGAGGCCACUCAUGAAAGCCACAGCUACUGGAGAGCUGCAGGCUGUCAGAGAUCAGCUGUGCUGCUCUGGCCUCAGCUCUGAAGUCCAACCCCUCCCAUCUGAGAGAGCUGGACCUGAGUCUCAACACUCUGCAGGAUUCAGGAGUGGAGCUGCUGAGAGGUCUUCUGGAGAGUCCUCUCUGCAGACUGCAGACUCUCGGGAUCAGAGGAGAGACGCUCAGAGCCAAGAUCCAGAAGAGCUGUGAGUCCUGAA